rnacentral:sRNA from 1 species
CUUUAGCCCCGAUAGAAGUGGAAAUCCUCCUGCGCUGGGGUUCAGCGCAAGAGAUUGUAGCGGAUAGCGGGACGAUGU